GACGAACGCUGGCGGCGUGCUUAACACAUGCAAGUCGAACGAAAGGACGGGAAGAGCUUGCUCUUUCCGGAAUUGAGUGGCAAACGGGUGAGUAACACGUAAACAACCUGCCUUCAGGAUGGGGACAACAGACGGAAACGACUGCUAAUACCGAAUAAGUUCCAAGAGCCGCAUGGCCCAUGGAAGAAAAGGUGGCCUCUACCUGUAAGCUAUCGCCUGAAGAGGGGUUUGCGUCUGAUUAGCUGGUUGGAGGGGUAACGGCCCACCAAGGCGACGAUCAGUAGCCGGUCUGAGAGGAUGAACGGCCACACUGGAACUGAGACACGGUCCAGACUCCUACGGGAGGCAGCAGUGGGGAAUCUUCCGCAAUGGGCGAAAGCCUGACGGAGCAACUCCGCGUGAGUGAAGAAGUAUUCGGUAUGUAAAGCUCUAUCAGCAGGAAAGAAAAUAGACGGUACCUGACUAAGAAGCCCCGGCUAACUACGUG
rnacentral:rRNA from 1 species